rnacentral:rRNA from 1 species
UACGGGGGGGGCAAGCGUUGUUCGGAAUUACUGGGCGUAAAGGGCGCGUAGGCGGCCGAUCAAGUCAGAUGUGAAAGUCCUGGGCUUAACCUGGGGACUGCAUUUGAUACUGGAUUGCUUGAAUGCAGGAGAGGAUAGCGGAAUUCCCAGUGUAGAGGUGAAAUUCGUAGAUAUUGGGAAGAACACCGGUGGCGAAGGCGGCUAUCUGGACUGUGAUUGACGCUGAGGCGCGAAAGCGUGGGGAGCAAACAGG